GGGUGAGUAACGCGUAAGAACUUGCCCUUUAGACUGGGAUAACAGAGGGAAACUUCUGAUAAUACUGGAUAAGUUAGUAUAUCGCAUGAUAUGCAAAUGAAAGCUACGGCACUAAAGGAGAGCUUUGCGUCCUAUUAGCUAGUUGGUAAGGUAAGAGCUUACCAAGGCGAUGAUAGGUAGCCGGCCUGAGAGGGUGGACGGCCACAAGGGGACUGAGAUACGGCCCUUACUCCUACGGGAGGCAGCAGA
rnacentral:rRNA from 1 species